rnacentral:rRNA from 1 species
CCUACGGGGGGCAGCAGUCGAGAAUCAUUCACAAUGGGGGAAACCCUGAUGGUGCGACGCCGCGUGGGGGAAUGAAGGUCUUCGGAUUGUAAACCCCUGUCAUGUGGGAGCAAAUUAAAAAGAUAGUACCACAAGAGGAAGAGACGGCUAACUCUGUGCCAGCAGCCGCGGUAAUACAGAGGUCUCAAGCGUUGUUCGGAAUCACUGGGCGUAAAGUGUGCGUAGGCUGUUUCGUAAGUCGUGUGUGAAAGGCGCGGGCUCAACCCGCGGACGGCACAUGAUACUGCGAGACUAGAGUAAUGGAGGGGGAACCGGAAUUCUCGGUGUAGCAGUGAAAUGCGUAGAUAUCGAGAGGAACACUCGUGGCGAAGGCGGGUUCCUGGACAUUAACUGACGCUGAGGCACGAAAGCCAGGGGAGCGAAAGGGAUUAGAUACCCUAGUAGUC